rnacentral:rRNA from 1 species
AUCGCGGAUCAGAAUGCCGCGGUGAAUACGUUCCCGGGUCUUGUACACGCCGCCCGUCACACCAUGGGAGUCGGAAAUGCCCGAAGUCUGUGACCCAACCGUAAGGAGGGAGCAGCCGAAGGCAGGUCGGAUGACUGGGGUGAAGUCGUAACAAGGUAAC